AUUGUUUUGAGAAAGAAUCUCCGACUAACGCCGAAGUAUUUUUCAAGUAAGUUAUGUGUUUUAUAGACCUUGUUCUCUUUGAGAGACUGAUCGUUCGUGAGGAAGAGUCGGGCGUUGCAGCCAAAGUGUUUAGCUUGAGCCUGUUUUUUUCUUGCCGAGGCGUUAGCCCAGGGUUUCUCAUUGAUGAGGCAAAAGUUCAAGAGGAUAUAGUGUUCUCUUUGGAAUAUGACUAUAGACCGGCGUUCCCGAGAGGGUGAGUGUGUUUUGCCGGGUUUUAAGAGUUCACUUCGGUUUUAG
rnacentral:lncRNA from 1 species